rnacentral:rRNA from 1 species
AGCAGCCGCGGUAAUUCCAGCUCCAAUAGCGUAUAUUAAAGUUGUUGCAGUUAAAAAGCUCGUAGUUGAAUUUCGGGGUCAGUAGGUUGGUCGUGCCACGGGUAUGAACUGGUCUCACUGAUUCCUCCUUCCUGAUGAACCGUAAUGCCAUUAAUUUGGUGUUGCGGGGAGACUGGACUGUUACUUUGAAAAAAUUGAGUGUUUAAAGCAGGCUAACGCUUGAAUACAUUAGCAUGGAAUAAUGAAAUAGGACGUUCGGUCUUAUUUUGUUGGUUUCUAAGAUUGACGUAAUGAUUAAUAGGGAUAGUUGGGGGCAUUAGUAUUCAAUUGUCAGAGGUGAAAUUCUUGGAUUUAUUGAAGACUAACUACUGCGAAAGCAUUUGCCAAGGAUGUUUUCAUUAAUCAAGAACGAAAGUUAGGGGAUCGAAGACGAUCAGAUACCGUCGUAGU